CUAUAUGCGAAGGUAGACACUAUCUUUUCUGCUUGUGUCUUGAAUAAAUAAAUAAAAUUCUGUAAUGAUGAUCUGAAAUGUCACACAGGUGACCAUUUGUGUUGUCACCGCCGUCGUACCGGUUGGAGGUGUUGCUGCUGCAUCUGGCGGAGCUGCAGCUGCCGCCCCAAAGGGCAACCUUCAUCAAACACAACCCCAUAACAGGGCCUCAAGGUUCUGUGCCCCAUCGCCCCUCUUUCUAAAUUACUGAAAAAAAAUGGUUAGGCCUGAUGUGCCUCUUGUAUCUGUUGCUCGAUUUGUUAUGAUUUGCUUCACCAAGAGUGAUUCUUCUACAGUCUUGUAGUAUGGUUAAAUGGAACAAUGAGGGAUGUUUCUAAUUUGGUUAUUGCUAGAAUAAUUCAUCGACUUGAGAUAUGCUGGGAUGUUUUGCCUGUCCUUACUGAAGAAGAUGAGAAUGGAAUUUAAUUGGAUGGUCCCUUUCAUCGUGCUUAAUUAUGUUUUGCUUGAGUUUACUGCCUUAUUAUGUUCAGCUUGAGUUGACACUAUUUAUGUCCAAACCUGGGUUUAUACUCUUUGCUUGUCGUCAUCACUCAUCGGUUGGGCUGUUUACUUAAUGUAUUUGUUGUCCGAUUUCUCCAUCAUAUUUCCUGAUGUACUUCUACAUAUAUAUGUUGGUUGUAAUCUGCUUGAACGAUCCAAGUACUUGAUAUUCCAUUCUGUUCUUGUAGGUGAAUGGAGCUUGUGUUGUUGAUAGAACACCGUUGAUGACUUUUUCCAAUGUUGAAGAGCAUGUUCCGUGGUAUCCAAGAGUAGCUAGCUUUAACUUGGCAGAGCGUUUUAUUUUUCAAUCGCAAUAUUUGUGAUUGUGUGGAAUAUUGUAUGGUGAUGUACG
rnacentral:lncRNA from 1 species